UGCAGUGAACCUGCUGGUCUUGUGGUUUGUAUCCUGAAAUGAUUGUCUUUGCAUCUGGAAAAAAAGGAGCCCGUCAAUCUCAGCAGGUUACUAGAGGAGGAACAGGCCUGGCUUUGUUUUCAUCUGAGAAUACUUUCAUCUGAAGAUUUGGCCCAACCACUUCCCAUUGAGAUGAUUUCCCAGUUCUGUCCUGUGGGGAGAAAGGGGUUUGGCACCUCAACUCAUCCUGGAUAAAGGAGUUCUUAAAGACCACUAGCACUGGGGAAUGGACAGCUGGAGGUCCUUGGAAGAAAAUCAUGGCACAGUACAUGUUGAUGAUCAACCUGAGCACCCUGUCCUG